rnacentral:rRNA from 1 species
UACGUAGGGUGCUAGCGUUGUCCGGAUUUAUUGGGCGUAAAGAGCUCGUAGGCGGUGUGUCGCGUCGGCCGUGAAAACCUGCAGCUUAACUGUGGGCUUGCGGUCGAUACGGGCAUCACUGGAGUUCGGCAGGGGAGACUGGAAUUCCUGGUGUAGCGGUGAAAUGCGCAGAUAUCAGGAGGAACACCGGUGGCGAAGGCGGGUCUCUGGGCCGAUACUGACGCUGAGGAGCGAAAGCGUGGGGAGCGAACAGG